GAGCAAUGCGCCAGUCGAACAUUGUAGCUUAAGCCAUGGCAGUACAAAAAGGCUGAUAAUAGGGUAUUACGUCCACUAGACACGUUUAAUCUCUUCUUUCAACUGGUUCUUCGACUUCUUUGUGAAAUCAUUCGAAAAUGUUCACGGCGUGAAUCACCUCAACAGAUGAUUAAUGUUUAAAAGUUAAUGGUCUUUGGUUGGACUAAUGCACAAAGCAGGUUCGGCGUCUCUGUUACGACCGUUUCCCUCAGGCAAGAGCUGUGUUUUGAAUCAGGGCGGGAAGGGAUGCAGCCUCUGGCGCGCGCCUCCGGAUGGAUUUAUUGCUUUCGUGUGUGCUCUCGGGCCGUUAAACACAAUAGAAGCCCAAUCCGACGAGGCAAUGAACUCUUGGCCUGAGUGCCAGGAUUUCAGUUUUUUUGUGUGCCUGAUCGGAACUUCUGGCGAGGCAGAGAAAGACUAGGCAUGUGGAUCGCUGUUUCCUCAUACACUGCUGGGCGCGCAGGACAUGCGAGGGCUAGAAUCCGGGGAGGAGGCCUCCGCUAACCCUGACUUCAGUCGCCGAGAUCUAAGGAACAUUAAGGAGGUUGAUGUCUGCGGCCUCCACAUUUCUGGUGGAAGUGGUCUGGGGAAGUUCGGCACUAAUCCUGGCCACACAGAGAUAAAAGGGGAGCAUCUGCUUCUGAUGAGCGUAUUACUUUGGCCAUCCUGAUAUUUUUCUUUAUUGGCGCACAUACAUGUGGCUUCAAAUGGUGUCUCAAACAUUGCAGGAAUUCAUUACAGCUGCACUGGCACAAAUAAAAGCGGUAAGCCAAACCCCCAUCGACUUGUUGCGCAUAUUUACAACGGAACUUUCCGGAUGCUAGACUUCUAAUGUCUCCUCCAAUCUGGCAUCUCAUCUAUAUCUAGUGUGUGUGUGUGUGUGUGUGUGAGUGCAUGUAUUUGAGUGUGUGUGUGUGUGUGUGUGUGCACGUUGUGUGAGUGUGUGGGAAGAGCAACUCCCUCCCUGGCUUCUUGGAAGCAUUUCUUAGAUCACCACUUGAUAAGAGAGGGAUUGUUUUUCCAGGGUCGGCUGCGAUAUAUCUCCCCACCAUCUCUCCCCGUCAUCUCUGGUCUCUGAUGUGUGUCGGCCUGUUGGUGGCUGAGAGUGUACAAUAGGAACUCACAGAGACGUGACCAGGCGUGACCUGGCGUGACGGAAGCACAGUGAAAGAAAAGAGGAGAGAGGAACGUGGGAGAUCUGGAGGGAGAGAUAGCCACCCACGGAGGACAACCAUGGGAAAAAGAGGCGAUGACAGACGGACGGACGGAUGGGAAAAAGACCCGAUGACAGAGGGGCGGACGGACUGGCUUGGACUUCUUAGGCACGGAACAGGAUCCGUGGUCACUCUCUUAGAGCAGAGGAGCCGACAUCUAAUUAAAAACCAUUAAGAGCCAGGCUCUCACCUCUUUAUGGGGCAGUGUGUCUUAGAGCAAGUCGACAUGUCCGGCAUGUCUGGACCUUAUCUGAGGAGGGGUUUAUUUAGGCUAACUGCUGACAAUGCGAAUCAAGGAGAGAGGACUGCUUGACUGCUUCACAAGAGCUGUAAGCCUUACCAUGGUAUGUGACGAGACCCAUAAACACAAGCUCUCUAUUAAAUCAAG